rnacentral:rRNA from 1 species
GUGAAAUGUAGUCGGUUGAGCUGGUUCCUCUGGGACAUGUGCUCACCUUCUGCGCUUUCUCACAUCCACCUGUGCACCUUUGUAGACAGUAGAUAGCUCUCUCCUCGAAAGAGGGGGAUAGGAGACUCGCGCCUUGCGGUGCUUGACUCUAAUUAUCUACUUGUCUAUGUCAUUACACACACUUUAGAAAACUUUGAAUGUCUUUUUACUGGUCUUUGACCUUUAAAUUUUAUACAACUUUCAGCAACGGAUCUCUUGGCUCUCGCAUCGAUGAAGAACGCAGCGAAAUGCGAUAAGUAAUGUGAAUUGCAGAAUUCAGUGAAUCAUCGAAUCUUUGAACGCACCUUGCGCUCUUUGGUAUUCCGAAGAGCAUGCCUGUUUGAGUGUCAUUAAAUUCUCAACCUACACUUGGUUUUACGACCGAGCUUGUAUGGAUUGGAUUUGGGAGCUGCUGGAAACCUUAACAGUGUUCAGCUCUUCUUAAAAGUAUUAGCGGUGACUCUGGCGACCGUUACUUGGUGUGAUAAUUAUCUACGCCUUGUCUAAUGGGAGCCAUAAUAAUGGUCGCAGCUUCUAACUGUCUGUUAA